GGAGUGCAGGGGCUGGACUCCAAAGCUGACCAUAGGUUAUUUGCUUUCUGGCAACUCUCUGAUGUAAUUAUAACACAUAUGUUAUUUCUCUUUCCUCCCAGCAGCCCUGCAGGAAGCUAUUACCAAUCCAAUUUUACUAGCAAGUCUUGGAGGUCUCACAGGUAGUGAGAUGCAGACCUGGAAUUUGACCCAGAGUCUGUAUGACUCCCAGAUUCUUGCUUUUGGCCACUGUGCACACUGCCAGGGGCUGAAAUCUGGGAGGAAAGUCGAGCUGGGGAAUCCAGACCCCCAGCCAGAUCUGGGUAGGGAGCAGGUGCCCCCACACUAGUCCCAGAUGGCUCCCCCAGUCUGACUUACUUGUGAGGUUGGUCCUGGACAGGGAACCAUUUGACUCAGGCUCCAGCCCAUGUCUGUACCCUCUGCAUCCACCAGUCCCCCUGGGUAAAGGAAAGAGGUGCUACCCACCCAUAGCCCUGAUCUGAUGGCUCCUGAAAGUAGUAUCUCUGCAAGUUACCCUGAGCACAAGGGAAGUAGUCCUGAAGCUCCUUGACCACCUCACAAUGGGGGAAGCUUGCCCCACAAUGGGGGAAGCUCUGGAGGUAGAACCCCAAAAAGCCUUUGUCAAAGCCAAGUCCAGAGGAUCAGGGCUAUAGCUCAGUGGUAAAGCCCUUGUGUUGCACGUAUGAGGAACUGGGUUCAAUCCUCAGCAUCACAUAAAAAAUAAUUAGACUAAGGUAUUGUGUCCAUCUACAACUAAAAACAUUAAAAAAAAAAAAAAAAAGUCCAGAUUGGAAGUUCCUCUUGAAGUUUCAGUCCCAAUUCUGUAAUCUCCCUCUACCUGUGCGGGUUGCUGGUGGAGGCUUUCUUUUCCUGCCUGAACUUGGGUAUGACCUAUAAUGUCACCCUAUGAAUGUCACACUUUGGGGAUAAGACAGAGGAAAGAAAGAUGCAAGCCCUAUUCCCGGAAGCAGAAAAAGGGAUAAUGCCAUCAACAGUAUGAGAACAUCUUGGUUCGAGAGCGAGGUUUGGGAGACCUGCUUGUUCUGGCAGCGAGUUGGUGGAAGGGAUCCGCUAGAGACGCCAACAGUGAGUCAUGGGACCUGCAGGCAAAGGGGUGACCUCCAGGAAUCUUGGGGUUUGGGAAAAGCUGGUGAGAGGGACAGCUGGGGAAAACAGCUGGAAACAGAAGAAAUUCAAGUGGGGAGAGGCCAGGGAGGGAGACUGGAGACGGGACUAAGAGAGGAAGGUGGAAAUGAAAACAAGAGGUCGUGAGACUGACAGACAGAGACAAAGAGGGGACAGGACGGCGGGAGAGGGCCUACAGGGAAGAGAAAGGACGGAGAGAGCCGGCAAGACGGGAGGAGCACAGCCCGGGAGGCGGCCCUCCCUUGCCUGUCACUCCCGCAGCUCCUAAUCCCCUCCCCCAGGGUCAGGGGUGGGCAGCGCGCCUCCAGCCCCGCCCCAGGCCCUCAGAGGCCGCCCCCGGGGACUGGUUGUACCGCCCAGUAGAUGGUGGGGGGUCCAGCUGGUGCGUUAUCAGCCUCCUCCAGGAACGAGCCUGAGCCACUCAGCGGCUGCCAGUCUGAGAUUAGGCCCCGGGAGGGUCAUUAAGCAGCCGCCCUGGCCCCGGCCCAGCCUCCUUUCCCUCCAUGAUCAGGCCAGGCUGGCAGGUGGGAACAAGCGAUAAGGACUGGGGGUCUUGGCCGUUCUGGUCAGAGCAUGGAGUGGGGGUGGGGGCUGUAAGGUCAGUUCCAGUCCAGUCCCCUUGGGGGUCCCCAGGGUUCCCAUCAUCCUGGUCCUGCUCAAAUUGAGAGAGACAGAAUAGGAAAAGGGGGAAGGAGGCUCUUAGAGCAGAAUGCCCCUUCUGUCCCCUUAGGCUGAUGGAAGCAAGGUGAGUUCAGGCAGAAACUGGCCCCUCCUGGCAAUGCCUCACAGGUGGCUCUGCCUUCCGAGGAAGAGAACCAGACCUGACCCACCUUCACCUCCCAGGGACAGCUGGGAUCAGAGGAGGGAGGAAAUAUGACCCCAUGCAAGGAGAAUCACAUCCAGGCCAUCAGAAGGUCCCCACCAGAAGGCUGAAAAGGAAAAAGAAGGUGUUUGUGCCUUAGCAGAGACUAAGCCUCUAGGAACCUGUCUCUCCUACAGUGAGUGAGAAGCUGGGCUGGUUGCUAAGGAACCCUGCCCAGAGCCGGAGGAGCCUCCACCAGGAAAAACAAAAACAGGCACCGAUGUGAUUCUGCAACUUGUAUUUGGGGCAAAAAAUGGGAGUUCAUAACCCACUUGAAUCAAAUGUAUGGAAGAUGAUAUGUCAUGAGCUUUGUAAUGUUUUGA
rnacentral:lncRNA from 1 species